CAAGCGUAUCUACUUCAGAAAACGUGGAAAGAAAAGAGCCUGGUGGGAAAAGUCGAUCAAGUGAUAAUGACGUGCCCUUAUGGAAAAAACUCUGGGUUCAGAAACAAUGGAGAUACCAAACAAGAUAAGACUAAGCCACAGAGAUAUCUGAAAAGCUGCCAUCAAUCAAACCUCUUUGUGAAGCCGGUUAGUGCAGCUUCCAUUGUUCUAAGCAGCAGGCAAAAGGAACAAAUAAAAUCCAGCUGUUUCUUCACUCUGGCACCAGAAUUCAACCCUGUCAACAAGACGGAGGGUCUCCCAAAUGCUGCAAUCUGCUCCGUGCUCUGUGCUGCUCUGCUGGGCUGUCACAACUGUUCCCUGUGCCUUUCUGCAGGCGAGGUCUUCUCCCAGAGGAUUGAUUGAAGCUUCAACGAAUGAAUGAGGCAUCAGCAGAAGAGGAACAAAAGUCACAUAGGCUGCUCCUAAAUCCUAGUACCUCUCAAAUCA
rnacentral:lncRNA from 10 species